UACGUAGGGGGCAAGCGUUGUCCGGAAUCAUUGGGCGUAAAGCGCGUGUAGGCGGUCCGGUAAGUCCGCUGUGAAAGUCGGGGGCUCAACCCUCGGAUGCCGGUGGAUACUGUCGGGCUUGAGUACGGAAGAGGCGAGUGGAAUUCCUGGUGUAGCGGUGAAAUGCGCAGAUAUCAGGAGGAACACCAAUUGCGAAGGCAGCUCGCUGGGACGUUACUGACACUGAGGCGCGAAAGCGUGGGGAGCGAACAGG
rnacentral:rRNA from 1 species